ensembl:misc_RNA Metazoa_SRP Metazoan signal recognition particle RNA
GCUGGGCAUGGUGGCUCACGCCUGUAAUCCAAGAACCUUGGGAGGCUGAGGCAGGUGGAUCACCUGAGGUCAGGAGUUCGAGACCAGCCUGGCCAACAUGGUGAAACCCUGUCUCUA